rnacentral:lncRNA from 1 species
UUUUUUUUUUUUUUUUUUUUUGUCUUUUUGCCUUUUCUAGGGCUGCUCCAGUGGCAUGUGGAGGUUCCCAGGCUAGGGGUCUAAUCAGAGCUGUAGCCGCCAGCCUACACCACAGCCACAGCAACGCCGGAUCGUUAACCCACUGAGCAAGGCCAGGGAUCGAACCCGCAACCUCAUGGUUCCUAGUCGGAUUCAUUAACCACUGCGCCACAACGGGAACUCCAAGUUGCUGCUCUCGUAAUUACAGAUGUCUCUUAACAACCUUGCGUUUGCAGUCCUCUCCCCAUGAUCACUAAUUUUGGCAGCCUAUUUUACAAAUGUUUUGUGUGUAUCCUUUUACUACUUAUUGAAGCCAUAGAUGACUUUAUCGCUUUUCUUGACUUUUAACCUUCCUACUAGUUUUGUACCUGGCUGGUUUACUACCUUUACUGUUUACUUGCCUUUACCAGUGAGCUUUUCCAUUUCAUAAUGUUCAUAUUUCUAGUUGUGGCCUUUUCUUUUUUGCUUAGAAAAGUCCCUUCAACAUUUCUUGUAAAGCUGGUUUGGUGAUGCUAAACUCUUUUAGCUUUUGCUUUGUCUGUAAAGCUUUUGGUUUCUCUAAGAUACCUGAAUGAAAAGCUUGCUAUAUAGAGUAUUUUGGGGUUUUAGGUUUUAGCUUUUCAUCACUUUCAUCACUUUAAAUAUAGCAUGCCACUCCAUUCUGGCCUGCAGAUUUUCAGCUGAAAAGUUAGCUGUUGGCCUUAUGGGAGUUCUUUGGUACGUGACUGGAAGCUUUUCCCCUGCUGCUUUUAGUAGUCUCUCUUUAUUUUUUGCCAUUUUAACUGCAGUGUCUUGGCGUAGUCCUCUUUGGACUGAUCCUUUUUGGGAUUCUCUCUGGCUCUUGGACCUAGAGGUCUGUUUCCUUUCCUAGGGUUAGGUAAGUUUUCAGCUGUCAGGUCUUCAAAUAUUCUCUGCCCUUUCUCUCUCCUCUUUCUGGGACCCCUGCAAUGCGGAUGUUCUUUUCCCGAGUUCUUUGAUCAUCUUCACUGGCAUCACCUUCAGCUCUCCGUAGGGUCGGUUUUGCCUGUCUCCCCUUCACUUAGUUUUUCUUCUGGGGUUUUAUCUUGUUUGUUUGGAACAUGUUCCUCUAUUGCCUAAUUUUUCCUAAUUUUCUUUCUUUCUUUGUUUCCUUUUCUAGGGCUGCACCCACGGCAUAUGGAGGUUCCCAGGCUAGGGGUCCAAUUGGAGCUGUAGCCACCGGCCUACACCACAGCCACAGCAAUGCCGGAUCCUUAACCCACUGAGCGAGGCCGGGGAUCCAACCGGCAAUCUCAUCGUUCCUAGUCGGAUUCGUUAACCACUGCGCCACGACAGGAACUCCUAUUUCUGUAUAUCUGAUAGCUUGGUUACAUGUCCCAACCUUGGAGAAAUAGCCUUUUGCAGAAAAUGUCCUAUGACGUCCCAGCACUGCAUUCCCCUCUGGUCACCAGGGCUGCAUGUUCCAGGGAUGUCCCCUACGUGGGCUGCAUGGGUUCUUCUGUUAUGGUGGGCUGACUACUUGGAGUGGUCUUGUAGGUCUGGCUGGCCCCAGAUCCAGUUGGUAUCCAACCUCUGCCUUGUGUGGAGGCUGCCAGCCACUGGUUGGUGUCUAGGUCACAAAGCAGCUGGCUGCAGAACCCUAGGGCUCCUGGAGCUAGUGCUGCUCACUGGUGGGCAGAGCCAGGUUCUGAGGUGGGUAGUUGUAGGGCCAGGGUUCCUGGAUCUCUUGUCACUCUCCUGAUGGGUAGGGCCAGUUCCAGACAUGACUGGCUGCAAGUUCUGGGGAGUCUCAAAGCUGGUACAGGCCCACUGGUGAGUGGGGCUGGUUUCCAGGGUGGCUUGCUGAGGAGUCCUUGGUGUCUCAGAAGUGGUGUUGGCAUGCAGGUGGGUGGGGCCCAGGCCUGGAGGGUCCAAGGCUGCUGGUGUGUUGACUGGGUCCUGACAAGGCAGGCUUCAGGGCUGCAGUGGUCCCGGAGCUGGUGACCACCUGUUAGCAGGUAGGUUUGGUGUCCAGGAGAUCCAAGGGAUAGUGCCAAGCUCCUGGUAGGCAAAGCCAGGUCCCGGGAUCUCUGGCUGCAGGACCCAGGGGUCCCAGAGCUUGUAUCAGUCUACUGCUGAGUGGGUCUGAAUCCCAGGGCAGCUGGCUGAGCGGCCAAGGUGUCUCAGAGCUGGUAUUGACCUGCUGGUGGGGGUGCUGGCCUGCCAGUAGGUAGGCUGCAUCCUUCUAUGGCAGGUUGUGGGUUGUUUGUCUUCAGGCUGGGGUCCUCCUCCCGGUAGGCACACCAGGACUCAGGGUUUCCUGAGCUAGUGCUUGCCCACUUAUCUAUGAAGCUGGUCCCGAGACUAGAUCCGACACACUUAUGGGAAGGCCCAGGGCCCAAGGGAUUCUGGUGGGUGGACCUGGGUCCCAGGAAUCUCUGGCUGCAGGGCCCUAGAAGUCCUAAGUCUAGUGCCUGUCCACUGGUGUGUGGGGCCAAGUCCUGGGCCUUCUGAUGGAGAGGGCCAUGUCCAGGGAUAGCUGUAGGCUCAGGGGGCCUUAAGGCAGCCUGUCCACUGAUGGGUGGAGCCGCGUCCCCGCCCAGCUAGUUGCUUGGCCUGAGGUGUCCCAGGACUGGCGCCGGCAGGCUGGCGGGUGGGGGCAGGUCCUGGCCUCAUGAGCGCAAGGGAGGAUUCCUAAAUGGCGCUCGCCAGCACCAGGGUCCACGUGGUAGAAGGAGCGGCCAAAACAGCUGCUGCCGUUGUGUGUGUCCCCAGGGUGAGCUCCAGUUGCCUCCUGCCUCCCCGGGAGACUCUCCAGGAUUAGCAGGUGGAUCUGACCCGGGCUCCUUUCAAACUGUGGCUUCUACCCUGGGUCUCAGAGUGUGUGCACCUUUUAAGGGCGGCGCUCCUAUUUCCCACAGCCCUCUGGGUCCCCCGAACAUAAGCACCUCUGGCCUUCAGAGAUCGAUCUGCUGGGGGCUCAUCUUCCCGUUGCGGGACCCCGGGCUGCAGAGCCUGGUGUGGGGCCCAGACACCUUGCUCCUUGGGGGGAACCUCUGCAAUUGCAAUCAUUCUCCCAUUUGUGAGUCGCCCCCUCCGGGCUGGGGAUGGGUCUUGCCUGUUCCGUGGCUCUGCCUCUCCUUCUCUUUAGUGCCGACCUCCUCUGCUGGAUUCCAGUCUUUCUCAUCCAUGGUUGAUCUGCUACUAGUUGGAACUUUGGGGUGCCCGUGGGAGGAGGUGAGCUCAGAGCUGUCCAUCGUCACCACCCUGGACCAGAAUCUCGGAAAAGGCCUCCUCCUCCGGGAAGCCCUCCCACCCCCACCCCAGCCCCGCGGACCGUCACCGUCGCCCAGGUUCCACCCCACGUCUUCUCCUCAGGGCUCUGUGCCCCUGCUGCUGCCUCUGAGGCACCUGGUGGCCGGGACACGGCAGGCAGGCAGGGUAGGUCUGUGCGGAAGGAAGGCUGGCGCGUCCAGAAACGCGCUCCCUGAGGACCCAGACCCGCCAGGCCCCGCGACCCCUGCAUCCAUUCGCACCAAAGGACCAGAGCAGGGACAGCUGUAGAGACAGAAAUUAGCUUCAUGGCUGCUGAGGGCUGGGGUGUUGGGUGGGGGUGACAGCUAACAGGUGGAGGGUUUCUUUUUGAGAUGAGACGAUCCCUGAAACGACUGGCGAUGGCAGCGCAGUCCGUCGCCACACCAAAACCAGGGAACUGCACACUAAACGGGUGGACGGCGGUCUGUUAAGCACGUCUCAAUAAAGCUGUGAAAAAAAUGUCUAACAGGCUUGUCUGGCUGACGGGCCGAAACGCGAUGUGUGUUUGCCGAGGAUACGCAGAACCCUGCAUAACAAGACCCGUGGUCUGGGUGUUGCAGCGACUUUUAGCCGCAUGGAAAGAGAAGUCUCUGGUCUCUAGCAUAAACCCAACCCAGAGGGGUCGGCCUCAGGCAGCCCCCCAUGCACGUUUAACUCUGAGCCCAGCCCCUCCCCCUUGGCUGGGUCCGCGCAGGAGAGGACUCACUCGCUCGGGUGUGUGUCCCUGCUUGCAGACUAGGAAACGCAGGCAGGCGCGAGGUCAGGCGACCGCCACCCUCGCUCAGCAAGACAAGUGGCAGCCAAGAAUAGCGCAGGGCUCCUGACUGCGCCUCCUUUGCCGUAAACAGCCAGCCUCGCCCCAACCCCCACCCCCAUCUGAGACCAUGGACGGACCCCACACACAGGAUUUUUAAAGGGACCAUCAAGCACGACCCCCGGGCAGUAACACUGAGACCUGUGUUGGGGCCAAGCCGAGGGAGGAACCAGCCCCGUCUCUGCAUUCCCGUUUGCAGAGACAAGUCGGGAGGGCCCGCUGGGUCGGGCCGGGCUGGCUCCUGCCAGGACCGAUGUCAGCUGUGCGGGUGGGCCUCUCUGGACACAGGCGCAGAGCCCGAGCUGGUCAUCAGAUGUGUUGUUUUGCAUUUAAUGAUUUCCGUCUUCUAGGGCCAGCGGGACCACUGACGACUCGUGUCAAGCCUCAUGCUCGGGGCCUUCUGUGCCCGUUAACGAAGGAACGGUUACGGAUGGUGUGGUAGAAGUGGGAUGUGGGAAAGCCAGGGACGAGGUAGCCAAAAAGGCAGUGACAGAGCCGGGUCAAAGGGCAGCUAUUCGGAACCAGCCCAGGUCUGCAGCUUCCCUGCCAAGCGACCUUCAGCAAGGCCCUGGCUCUUUCCGAGGGUCAGUUUCCUCAUCUGUGAAAAGGGGGAGCCGGCUGAUGUAUAGGGAGAGGCAAGGGCCAUGGCAGCACCAAAACGCUCCCUGUUCGGAUGCGUGUCAUCAGAGGAUUUCGCGGCGCUGAUGAGCUGACAGGUCGCUAGGGGACGGUGUGUGCGCAGUGGCCUGCGGCUGCCUACAACAUUCGCCCUAAUUGAGGGCCUGGCCCCCAGCCAGGUGGGAAACAGUUUCCAUGGGGCCGCUCAGGCCGGAUGGAUGAGGACCAAGAGGCAACUCUCAAGCCGGAGGUGAGAGAGGGCACCUGGGCCGUGGGAAGUGGCCAGCGGCCUGAGAGCCCUCGCCUUUCUGCAGUUGCCCGUAGGCUGCCUCCCUCUUGGACCCAAGUGGGUUUUCUCUAGGCCUCAGGGUUUGUCCAGCGCAGAGGUUGGGCUACACCCACAAGUGGCUUAAGAGGUAGAAGGCAGGCUGGGGGCGGGGGUGGGCCCAGGGCACCUGCUUCUCCAAGACAUCUUGGGGCAGGUGGGCUUGGCCCAGCCCGGACAGCCGGCUCCCCAGGCCUGGGCUCCUGGGGAGGACCCUGCAGCAGCUGCUAGAGCCUGGGCUCUGUGUCUCGUCCCAGUCUGGGGCUUCUAAAUUUAACCUGCCGUCAGCUAGAGGGGCUGGAGGGCUUCCACAGGGUGAUCAGAUGCCACUCGGAAUCCACUUUACUCAUGACCCCCUGCCCUCUGCACACAUUCCCCUCCAAGCACUACCCCCAAAUGCAGGCAGCCGUCCUCGCAUCCUUGCAUGUCUCCAGGGUAAAGAUUGAAGACCCGAGCCGCCCUGGAUCCUGAUCAGAUCCAGCUCACUUUCUUCCUGCCAUUGGCCAGGGUUGCACCCUGUUCUCUGUUCACACGCAGACGCACACACACAGACACACACCCACCAUGGUCCCAGGGGCAGAGCCCAGGAGCUGACUCCACAAUUGAAAGCCAAACCACGACAGAGCUGCACCACCCAUAAGCCAUCUGGGUGGAGGGCGGCCAGCCGAGCCCAUUACACAAUUUCCUGCUUUGGUGUCGCAGCCCCAGGAGACAGGAUGCAGAAUGCCGUUGGGUUGCUGCAAUGUGGGAAGCCCAGAGAAGAGACCAAACCUCCCAUGCCCAGAGUGGAUAAGGCCACCGCCUGCCCAGCAGAUGAGCCUACGACCUGCAGCUGCCUGGACAGCCCUUGAAAGGAAUGAGCAGGCCCCCCAUGGGCCACAGAGAGCUGAGAGCACAAAAACCUUCCUGUAGGCAGAGGAAGGCGUUUCCUGUGGGGGGAACCCAGGAUAGAGUGAGCCACAGGCAGGGGGCCGCCUCAUCAUUAGGCACCAUUAAUUACUGCGCCGGGAGUUCCCAUCAUGGCUCAGUGGAAAUGAGUCCGACUAGCAUUCAUGAGACCCCUGGCCUUGCUCAGUGGGUUAAGGAUCCAGCACUGCCAUGAGCUGUGGCGUAGGUCUCAGAUGUGGCUCCGAUCCUGCAUGGUGGUGGCGGAGGCGGAGGCUGGCAGCUACAGCUCUGAUUCGACCCCUAGCCUGGGAACUUCCACACGUGAGUGCGGCGCUAAAAAGACAAAAACAAUGCAAAAACACUACUGCACUGAAAGUGUGACCUUGCGACUGAGAGCACGUGGAGGGAAGGUUUGGGUCCCGGGGCGGCAGUUCCGAUCCUGUCUCUGCCUCUCCCCAGACGCAUGGCUUUGGGCGGCUUCUCCCCUCUGUGAAGCGGGGAUGAGGAAAACCCCUAAACCUCAGGAUUCAGCGAGUUAACACCCAGAAGAGUAGAAUAGCUGUGUUGUCGCUGCAUCAGCCAGGAGGCGGCUGCUCGGAGAACCAUCUUCCAUACAAG